GGAGCAGUCCCAGCCCCUGCAGGAAGAUCCAGGACAGGACCAGACACAAGAACAGGACCGUGCCCGUGGCCGCUUCCGCAGGGCAGCACAGGCCUUUCUGAAAUUCUUGGGCAUUCGGCGCAAAAGGACCACAACCAGACCGACUGAGGUCAUGGCACAGCCUGACCCCAGCCCGACUGAGCUUGAGG